GGGUACCCUUCUUUACUUGUUUUUAUUUUGUUGGUUUUUGCUUCUUCUAGGUUAAUUGUUCUUGAUUUCAAUGCUUUCAUUUCUUGCUUCUUCUUUUUUUGGUCCAGUUGUUUGAUUUAUUAUCUUGCUUGCUCAUCAGUAGAAUGUUUGAGUGUUUCUUACAGGUAGCUUUCCAUCUUUUAAGGUAGAAGGUAUAUUCAUUCAUUGCCAUUAUGGCCUAGUUGCAUUUAUUCUAUAUGCUUGUUCUUAUAUGUGUUAAUUAUAAAUGUUGAUAUAUCUUGUAGUAUGGGUAUUUCUUAUUAAAAAAACAUCUUGGUAUUAGACUAAAAUUUGUUUGACAACAGUGAUGACACAACAAUGAUCAAAAUGAUUUUUCUCUUCGUGGCUUUUACAUCUGACCUUUGAGGUAAGCAAAAACGGAUGAACGAGAAGACCUUUUCCCCCAAAACAUUUAAACCCACAAUUAUCACUGACUUCUCUUCUUCAGGCUUGAAGGCUUCGUUUGUACUAAAUCCUUCUGCUUAGGAUGCUUCAGUUCUGAAGCAGUUCUGAUUUUUUUUUUCCUUGGAUUGUUGGUAUUAUCAAACGCUAACUGGAACUUCAAGUUAACCGGAAAUAAGUACAUUUAAAUAGGUUAAAGAAAAACCAGAUUAGGCGUGCUACCUCAUGUACAUUAGUAUAUUGAGCUCUAAAUUGCUUAGUUACACAAGUCCACUAGUUGGUUGUUCUUUAUUGUAAUCUUACCUUCUUUGGUAGGACUCCAAUGAAUGGAAUAUGAUCGAGGGCCUUUUUUUCAAACCUUUGUUUGUGUAUGUAGAUGUGCCAGAUUUUGUUAUCUAUUUGUUUGAAAUUUGUCUCCUUAAGGACCUGUAGUACAUACGAUAAAUUGAUAAAUGAAAGAUGACCAUUUUCAUCGGCCCAUACUAGUGAUGAGAUUGAAUAUAUCUUCCCAACACAUUCAUGGCCUUGCUCUUGUUGUAACAUUCAGGCUUCCCAUCUUUUUCUUGUUUAUUCAAAAUUUGUUUCCACAACAAUUUGGUUUAUAAUUUUAUUCUAUCAAAAAGAAAAAAAAAAAAAAAAAAAGAAAGAAAAGAAAAAAAAAAGAAAGAAGAAGAAAAGAUCUCUUUAAGAAAUUUGGGGACUUUUAAGUGCUUUAUCCGAACAUCUCUCCAUUUGGAUCCUUGUGAUGGAGUAUCACUUAUGCUCAUAUCAACCCCAUAUUGGAUAAACCAUCUUGGGACUAUUCCCUGUAAUAGAAGCCUUCAUUCAGUGAGCAGGAGAACAAUGUGGUAAGUGUAAACCUAUCCCACAUAUAAAGUGGUCAGAUAGUUAACACCGUGUUCCCCUCCCAACAAUAUAUUCUUAGGUAAACCCACUUUAGCAUUAAUAUACAUAGGAACUGGUGAAGAGUCAGUUGACUCUGCAAAACCUGCAUACUUAACCACAUGAUCCGAAUGCUUGGCUUGCUUCAAUGGUUCAUGUGCGAUUGAUGGGUUUCCAACCUUACACAUACUGAAACUCACCGUACCUACUUGCCCCUUAUUAUUUUGAAGAUACCUUUAUUAUUUUUAAUCUUUUUCCUUCCUCCUUUAUAUGUGAGUAUCUAGGCUAGCUGAUGCACCUUGACUAAUCUCGCGAGGUCAUAUGCCUAAUUCUACAAGAACUGGAUGGUACAUUCAUGCUAAUAUACUCAUGAAUACCCUUCUCCUCCUAUAUUGCCUUGAUUUUACUUGCAACCCAACUUAGGUUUUUCUAAUGAUUCAUCUUCUUCAGUAGAAUUUGGCAUUCUCUUGGUUCAUGUGUGGCAAGCAAACUACGGUGCUCAACUUCUGCCAAGGGUGGAGGAGAGUUGAACACCUUGUCCUGCAUUUUAAGGUUAAUCAACUCUACCACCCAUGUACAUAGGAAGUGAUAAGGAGUCAUCUGCUGCCUAGCGACUCCUUCCAGAUUGCCCUAGUGAGAGUAUUAGCCAAAAUGCAUUUGAGGUGAAGUACUGAUUUAACAAAGACCUGCAAGUGAAGCACAAGCACCUACUUCCAUUAUGUUUGGAAUGCUGAGUUCACCAAAUAUUAUGAAGAAUACUUGGCAGAGCAGCCCUUGCUCCUAACCCAGAAGGAUGUCUUCUAAAUUAAGAUGGUGUAUCUCUUUGGUCUCCAGGCCAGCAAUUACUAGGGAAAAUAUCCUUUAGAGCUAGCCAUUCUAAUAGUCUAGGAGAAAAUAAAUUUUAAUGACUAAUUACCCAUUCAGAUAUUUUUUUCAAACAUGAUUGUUCUCUGUUGUCUAAUCCGAAAACGUUCCACCUUUCAGCCUUUUGGACUACAUGUGGAAAUGUGCUUCCAUAGGCUCUGAUUUUGCAGUUACUGCCUUGUUGAUUCUGUUUUCUGCACUUGUUCUAUAUUGUGUAAGAAACAAUAUCUCAAUGUACGUGUCCGUGGUUUGAUCAUCUUCAAGAGUUUCCGACCCAAUUUAGAUACUAGGGUUGUGACACUUCUUUCAGCUUCCUAGGCCAAUCCUUACACAUUACCAUGCUUAUCUGAGAUUUUUUUUAAGCUUAUGAGGUGGCUUCUUUCUUCAUCUUCAACUCCUUUCCAUUGAAAAUCCUUCAUUUCUUUCUUUAGAACCUUAACAACAUAACUGAGGAUAUACACGCACACAUAUAGACUAAUCAUUCAUCAAUGAAAUUUAUUUAUCUUUUCAAUAUACACACAUACACGCACACCACACACACAUAUUUAUAUAUAUUGACAAGAAACUGUUCCUCAUUAUGAGAUACAUUAAGGCUCUCUAAUUCGUCAAUUAGGUGAAAGUACUGGCUUUUCUGUUUUCUUGUAUGUAAACUACGACUAUUGGAGCUGCUGUGUCCAUAAAUUAGUGGAAGCUUUCUCAUAGUUAUUUCCAAUCCAAUAGUUUAGGCUAUGUGUUAGGAUACCAUUUGGUCCUUUAAGUUUUAACAUUUGACAGUUUAGUGCCUGAAGUUGGUCCUUGAAAAUUGAAGUUGCUGCAGUAUUGGUGAUACUAACAGAAAGUCACCAUUUAGUAAUACUAACAAAACCCAAUAUGUUAAAUGUUGACGUGUUAAUGCUAGAGAUGUUAAAUGCUCAUAUUGGAAUGCUUAUGUGGUCAAUUUUAGAUGUGGAAAGUUUUAAUAACUUUAUCACUAUUCUCUUUCGUGGCUUUUUUCCUUCUUCCUCUAAAAGCUAUACCUUCCCUUCAUCUCUCCCUCACUCUAUCAUCUCACUCAACUCUCUCUUCUUCUUUUCUGGGGGGUGGGGGCAGAUGUCUCUCCAUGCCUCUCGUCUCACUUCUGAGAAGACAAAUCUGUAGUGAGUAAGAGCUGCCUAAGAAAAAGCUCCCAAAGUUGUAAGCCAAAAUUGAGAUGUGCAAGGAUAAUGGAAAAAAUGAUGUGAAGGAUGCUCCAAGUCUGAAAAACAAAUCACACAGCACGAUGACGUGAUGUUGAGAGGAUAAGAGCUUUCAAACCACUGAAUAAAGGUUGCUCGAGUUAGGGACAAUAUUAUCAAUUAAUCACUCAUGAGAGAUUCAACUAUGAAUACUUGGGUGGAACUAAGAGGCCAUAGCCAAAGUUAUUCAUCGAACUUCGUAAAACUCACAAAAGAAGAAGGGAUUAACUAGGCCAUUCAAUCACCUCCAAAUUAUUCAAAUUUCAGCAGAGAUGUAGGUCCCACACAGCAUGAGAAGAUAUACAAGCCUGUGCAACUGUAAUAUUUGAACAAGUUAAUUGGCUAGCUGCACUUGUUGGAAGUGAAAAACAAAUUGAACCCAGGCUUACUCUGCACAUUAAAGAUGAGCCAAAUGCACUUAAUCUAUUCCAAAGUCGACAUUGUUCUUUCCAUGAGUGACUAAUUUACCUAACACAUCACCCACAGUCUCCGUUAAAGGGAAAAAAAAGGGAUAAAGGAAUCCCCUAGUUCCCAAAAUUCUUCAUUUUAUCAGCAGGAUUUUAUAGCCUUUUUCUUUCAGAAAUUUUGCAUCGAUUUUAUUUCACAUACCUUAAUAGUUACUUUUUUUUUUUUUUGAGAUGCUCAAGUGCAUUUGCUGAUCCUUAGGUUCUGUUUCUCUUCGUUUCCAUAUUGUAUUUUAAGCUUUUGUCUCAUUUCAUUAUCUUAAUAAAGAGACCCUCUUCUUUUAAACAUUGCCAUUUUUUAAAAAAUAGUUAUCAUUUUUUUUAAAAGUUAUUUUAGCACACAUUUUUUAAGUUCUAAAAUCUAGAACAUAUUUUUUAACAUUGCCAUUAUCACAUUGCUUCAAACAUCUUUUCAUUCUUUCUUCGUUGGGUCUGUCAGUUCACCCAUCUUAGCACCCAUCUUAGCCUUGCUGGCGAUUUUUACCAGACUGCCUGCAUUUUCUCAGUUCCAAACAUGUCAUCUUCCCAAUUUCGCUUUAGCGCCAAGAAUUUCAAUCUAAUUUUCUUCUUUUUUUAAAAAUAUUUGUGUGGGCUUCCCAAUUUCUGUUCAUUGUUUUCUUCUCAUAGUGAAUUUCUUGGACUAUCUUUUUUUAAGUUCUUGCAAAUGUUUUUUUUUUAAACGGAGACAAACUUCUUUAUUAAUAAUAAAACUGAAAGUAAAAGAGAGUUAUGCAAUGAGCGUAAUAAGGAAGCCUAGAGAGAAAUAAGCAAAAGGGGAUCAAAAGGUGCACAUGGACAUCUCAACUAGGUUGACACCCCUUUAGCACUAAAACAUGCGUUACUUGUUUUCUUGUAUUCACAACUUUUGAUAAUCAAUAAAAUUCUCUCAUUUGGUAUAUACGCCAUAAUCAAUAGUUAUCAAAGACAAUCACUCUAUUUAUAGAGAAUUGGAAAGAAAACUACUCCUAAUUUUAAUCUUCACUAAUCAAAGAAACUAAUCCUUUUCCUAAUCAAUCAUGGAGACUAAUCUUAAUCCUAAUGAACUAAAGAUUUGAGGAAGAUAGCCUAAUUUACCGUAGCCUUACUACAUCAUCCUACCCUUAAAAAAAAUUGUCCUUGAGUUUCAUGUUAGAAUUAGUGGCCUUGGCUCAAGGAAGGAUUUACCCUAAUAUUCUUUCCUUUUUUAUUAUAAGCUAUAAGCUAUUUAUUUUUCCUUUUGUAUCUUUUGUUAAUAUGAGAAAUUAAAAAGAAAGUCAAUCGUAGUUUUUCUCUCGGUACUUGGGUUUCCAUGUAACUCGGUGUCUACUUUACUUUAGCGCUUUUAACAUGGUAUUAGAGCGAGGUAAAGACGAAACACUAGACACAAGUGUAGACGAAACCCAAACAGAGACAGCUGCCUUGGGAUCGCUGCUGCUAUGAAAAAGUUGCUCCACCAGCUUCAGAGGACGUUGGCAAUUAGAGUGGGCCUAACCUUGGAAUCAGUCGUGCAACCUAGUGGCAGAAACUAACCACACGCGCUUCAAUUAGCCUCCCACGCGUUGUCAUUACCAGGCGCGUACGCUCACGUACCGCCACCCAAUGCCUCCACUGCUCAACCAGUCUACUCCCACCUGUAUUCCCAAGUCCAGCCGCAAUACCCUUCUGGUAAUCCGCAUCUCCACCGUCGUCGCCGCCCUCAAUUUAUGGAUGCCAUCGUUUCAUGCACUGCUGUCAUUUGAUUCUUUAUAGCAGCUGCAUGUCCAUGGUACUGGGAUCUAUCAAGUCCAUAAUGGAUUAGGGUUUGAAGUUGGUGAAUCUUGAGCGCAAUCCAAACCAACCGACUUGCCAAUGUAUUUCAAGAACUCGGUAACUUCGCUCCUUAACUUGUCCUCAAAUUAUAUAACAAGUUCUCUGAUAACAUCUAUAGGUGCCUUUCCAGGAUAGAAGCUGAAUGGCCAGAAUUACUUUUUCUGGUCUUAAUCUAUCAAGAUGUUUCUCGAGGGUCGUCACCAAUUCAGUUUUAUUAUAGGGGAGACUCUUUGUCCCUCGCUUGGCGAUGCCUUGAAACGUUUUUGGAGAGGGGAUUAUCCAGUCCAUGUUGAUUAAUAGUAUGGAACCACAAAUAGGCAAGCCUCUGCUUUAUGCAGCAACUGCGAAGGAUCUAUGGGACACAACUUAGAAACUUUAUUCAAAACGUCAGAACACUUCUUGUUUGUAUACACUGAGGAAACAAGUCCAUGAUUGUAUUCAAAACGUUAGAAUUAGUGGGCUUGACCUAAUGAAGGAUUUACCCUAAUAUUUUUUCCUUUUUUUAAUCAUAAGUUGUAACCUAUUUAUCUUCCCUCUUGUAUCUUUUGUUAAUAUGAGAAAUUAAUAAGAAACUCAAUCGUGGUUUUUCUCCCGGUACUUGAGUUUCCACAUAACUCGGUGUCUACUUUACUUUAUCACUUCUAACAUUUUGAAAUGUAAAUCACAAGCAUAAACCAAACAGUUCCCAUAUGGCCGGUCGGGAGUCUUUGUUGCUUGCUAGCUUGCUCUUACUUUACCUUUGCCUGAAAAAGUUAAAGAUAAGUAGAUUAGUAAUGACCUAAGCUUGGUUUUGAAAAAUUCGGGUCGUUACAUUUAUAUUCUGACAUUUGGUUGGAUCAUUACCCUAAGAAAAUAAAAAAUUUCUUUUGGGAGUUUAGCAUCGGUGCCAUUUAUAUUGCUGAUCAUUUCCAACAUCGUAUGUCAUAUAUGUACAUCUCUAGAUCAUUGUGUGUCAAGACCGUGUUGAAUCCCCUACCCAUCUGUUUGUUCACAUUUCUCUUGCCUACCAUUUCUAGCAUAUUAUGUUGGAUGCUUUUUAGCUAGUUAUCCACCUGGUCUAAUAAUAUAUUUGUCAUCCUUGCAUCCCUCUUCUUAGGACAUUCGUUUAUUGGCACAUGUAAAAUGGCUUGGUUGGCUAUUCUUCUAGCUUUUUUUUUUUUUU